AAGCUUGUAUUUGAGUAAGACUUUGGACAAUGGUGAGUUGCUUCCUGUAGUUGUCUAGGAGUGGUUGCCAGACACUGAACACUCUCCAUCCCCGGACCUUCAGCCCACCUUUGCCCAAGGAAUAUUGUUGGCAGUGACCCAAAUACUCCACCAGGUGGCACUCUUGCUUUGCUCCAUCCAGGUGCCCCUGCCAAGGUGCUUCUUAGCGAAACUAAAGAGAUUUAAAUAGUUGCUAAACUGUUGCCAGUUGUUUUCUGAAAGGCCAGAGAGAAUCCUGAGCCCGGAGGAGGGUAAGCAGAGAUGCCACAUGAAGAGGAUUGGAGGGAUCGCCUGGAGAGCCCGGAGCCAGUAUAAACACACGUGACAUGGGAGAGAAAAGGGAGAUUAAUGGUUUUCUGUGCAGCAAAGCCUGGUGGGAAGAGCUCCGGGACUCACCUCUAAUGCUGGCUCCACCACCGACUAGGUGUGAUCUUGGACAGAUAACUGGACUUUGCAAGGCUGAAAUUCUUCAUCUUUAAAUGGGGAUCACUGUAGCUGCCCCCCGCCCCCUUGCCCCAUGCAAUCCUUAGAGGAUCAGAUAAACUGAUGUGCAGGAGGCUAUGUGCAUGGUGCCUGCUACCCAGAAAAUGUUCAACAAAAGAGAGGUGCUGUGAUGGACUUUUAGGCAAAGGCUGAACGGUUAGACUUUGUACACCCACCCCCACCCCUGCCGGCUGUUACUAAUAAGAGAUGACCUCAGAAUGACCUGGAGAAAUAACUUGAUAAUGAACCAUGGCUUUAGCAGAGUCAACCAGAAGAAUUUCCCACCUGGAUUGAGUUUCACAGGUGUGAUUUUUGAACCGGGAAGUCAAGCUGGGUUCCCGGGCAAAACUGUCUCCCCCUUGGCGACUGGGGAAGCAUCUGACCACUGGGUGACUGGUCCCGCUUAAGCUGUGCAUCGUUGCGGAAAGUAUCCAUUUACUGUGACCACGAGUGCUGUGCGGAGAUGUUCAUUGGCUGCCCUCUCACCGCAUCCCGCGAUCUGUGAGCUCUGUUCAUCCUGGUCCCUGCCGGGGACUCAGGCGAGGAAGAUCAACCUCCCUGCGCAGGAAAGGGUUAGGCAUGGCUGAAGACGGGGACAGCACGAGGUCACUACCAGCGGGAGACAAAGAGAGGACACUGACCAGCAGCAUCUUUUGGCAUCGAGGAGAAGCAGCCUGAAGAGCCACUGCCGACCCUGCCCUGGGGGUGGCUGGUUAUCCUAUGUGUCAGCUGGGGGCGGGGAGGGGGCUCAUAGGGCCAGGCUUGCUGCCCAUCCCCCUCCAUGCUGUGGACCCAAUGGUCUGAGUGGAGAGGGGCAAGAACCAUGCACGGGGGAUGAACACAUGCACCCCGAUACGGAUGGGUGGUGGGCAAACCAGAGCCCCGACCAUGCGAACGUGUGAUGUGCGUUGUCAUCCCACAUCAGGUGUUGGCACCGCCGGCAGCCAGUGCAUCAGGCAGGAGCGACCCUCCCUCCUGGAACCAGUCAGGCCACAGGUGUCCUGACAACCUCAAGAUCAUGAGACAUUGAGCUCUGAGAGCAUCCGUCUCCUGGUCCCUGUUCAGAGCGCCCACGGAUGGCCCGACAGCCGCCAUGCGUCCAGGCACCCACACAGGACUUGGGAAUCUGCAAGGAAGUUUCCCCAGAGUGCAGAGUUGGGGAGCUGGCUUCCUUCCCCGGUCUAAGGGCCACAUGGAUGCCCAGACCCAAGCCCCAGCGACUCCGCUCCACUGGGCUGACUGGGCUCCUCCACCAUGUGCAUCAAAACCUCCCCAGGUGAUUCUACUGUGCAGCCGAGGUUGAGUGCCACUGGGAUCCAGCCCACUGAUUCGCAAGCUGGCCGCACAUUGGAAUCACCCUAGAGGUUUGAUAAGUUUUAACGCCUGGACCUCACUCCCAGAGUUUCUGGCUUAAUUGGUCUGGAGUGUUAACCUGGCAUGGGGAUUAGGGAAUCAUUACCUUUCACCUGAGGCAGCAGUUUUUUAAAUGUUUAUUCUUGAGAGAGAGAGAGAGAGAGAGAGAGAGAGAGAGAGCG